rnacentral:rRNA from 1 species
GACGAACGCUGGCGGCGUGCUUAACACAUGCAAGUCGAACGGUGACGAGGAGCUUGCUCCUCUGAUCAGUGGCGAACGGGUGAGUAACACGUGAGCAACCUGCCCCAGACUCUGGGAUAACAGUUGGAAACAGCUGCUAAUACCGGAUACGAGACGGAGAGGCAUCUCUACCGUCUGGAAAGUUUUUCGGUCUGGGAUGGACUCGCGGCCUAUCAGCUAGUUGGUGAGGUAAUGGCUCACUAAGGCGACGACGGGUAGCCGGCCUGAGAGGGCGACCGGCCACACUGGGACUGAGACACGGCCCAGACUCCUACGGGAGGCAGCAGUGGGGAAUAUUGCACAAUGGGCGAAAGCCUGAUGCAGCGACGCCGCGUGAGGGAUGACGGCCUUCGGGUUGUAAACCUCUUUCAGCAGGGAAGAAGCGAAAGUGACGGUACCUGCAGAAGAAGCACCGGCUAACUACGUG